rnacentral:rRNA from 1 species
UACGUAGGGGGCGAGCGUUGUCCGGAAUGAUUGGGCGUAAAGGGCGCGUAGGCGGCUGUGCAAGUCAGUAGUGGAAGCCCAGCUUUUAAGGUUGGAAGUGCUAUUGAAACUGUGCAGCUUGAGCGCAGGAGAGGUUAUCGGAAUUCCCGGUGUAGCGGUGAAAUGCGUAGAGAUCGGGAGGAACACCAGUGGCGAAGGCGGGUGACUGGACUGCAACUGACGCUGAGGCGCGAAAGCGUGGGUAGGCAAACAGGAUUAGAUA